rnacentral:rRNA from 2 species
UCAGACCUGAGUGUGGCAGGACCACCCGCUAAACUUAAGCAUAUUACUCAGCGGAGGAAAAGAAAACAACCGUGAUUCUCUCAGUCAGCGGCGAGCGAAGAGGGAUUCAACUCGUUGCCGAAUCGGGUCUUACAUGACCUCGAACUGUGGCACCAUUUUUGUGGCCGUUCUUAUAGGGCUGGUGCAGGCGUGGCGGAAUUCAAUUGCAAAGCAAACCCGUUGCUGAACACAUUUACAACCCUUCAUGUGAGUAUUGAGCCAAAGAAGGUGUCAGCCCAUUACAUUCCUUAGCCACGGAGCCCACGCGCCUCCUCAUGUUCGGUCCAAGAGAGUAGCACUGUUUGGGAAUGCAGUGUCAAGCCGGCAGGUAUUUGUCUGCCAAGGUUAAAUAUAGAGUAGGAAGACCGAUAGCGAACAAGUAGCGUGAGCGAAAGUUUGAAAAGUACUUUGGAAAGAGAGUGACAUAGAACCUGAAAUCGUGACAACGACAAUGGAAGUACCUCCAUUUCUUUUUUUUACGGCCAGACCCAACCUCGCCGCGCAAUUUCCUUCCGGGGCUCAACAUCCGGUGGGUUUUCACUGUGCGGGUUUCUCUUUUGAGGUCAUGGGGUGCGUGAGUGGGCGGAAUAAAGGGUCGGUGUGUUGUGUGUGGGUUUUUUCUCUCACUCUCUUCCUCCUUCCCUGUCCGUGCGUCUCGACGCUGGCGAUGGAAAUGGGGUGCCCCCACCCGUCUUGAAACACGGACCAAGGAGUCAAACAGACGCGCAAGGGAGGAGUAUGUAUGUGAGAACUCUUUUCUCGUACUGAAAGGGAGGUGUGAUUUUGCACCCGUGGCGUGCGCAAUUUCUCUUUUUUGUGUUUUUGCCCAACGCCGGCCGGCCCCCCGUGGGCUGCGCGCGAGUGUGCCUGUUUGGACCCGAAAGGUGGUGAACUAUGCCUGAACAAGGUGAAGCCCGGGGAAACCCCGGUGGAGGCCUGUAGCGAUGCUGACGUGCAAAUCGCUCGUACGAUUUGGGUAUCGGAGCGAAAGACUCAUCGAACCACCUAGUAGCUGGUUCACGUCGAAGUUUCCCUCAGGAUAGCUGGUGCUUGUCUUUAAGAAGUAUUGUGCGGUAAAGCAAAUGAUUAGAGGCAUUGGUGUUCUUGUAAUAUCGACCUAUUCUCAAACUUUAAAUGUGCAAACAACCCAGCCUUAGUUAUCUUAACAAGGCUUUUGGGUACAUAAGAAUUGAGGCACCAAGUGGGCCUUCUUCGGUAAGCGGAGCAGGCGAUGCGGAAUGAACCGCUUAGGGAUAUGUGGCGUCAAAACUUGUGGGCUCAUUCUCGAUACGUGAAAAGGGUGUUAGCGGAUAGGGACACUUGGACGGUGGCCAUGGAAGUCGGCAUCCGCUAAUGAGUUUGUAACAACUCGCCAACCGAAUUCACCGGCCCGGAAAAUGGAUGACGCUUAAGCCCCAUGUGCGUGAUUGCCAAUUAUUCCUUUGGUGAGGGCGGCUAUAUUUCUUUGU